rnacentral:rRNA from 1 species
UGGGGAAUUUUGGACAAUGGGCGCAAGCCUGAUCCAGCCAUGCCGCGUGUGUGAAGAAGGCCUUUUGGUUGUAAAGCACUUUAAGCGAGGAGGAGGCUACUUGGAUUAAUACUCUAGGAUAGUGGACGUUACUCGCAGAAUAAGCACCGGCUAACUCUGUCCCACCAGCCGCGGUAAUACAGAGGGUGCGAGCGUUAAUCGGAUUUACUGGGCGUAAAGCGUGCGUAGGCGGCUUCUUAAGUCGGAUGUGAAAUCCCUGAGCUUAACUUAGGAAUUGCAUUCGAGACUGGGAAGCUAGAGUAUGGGAGAGGAUGGUAGAAUUCCAGGUGUAGCGGUGAAAUGCGUAGAGAUCUGGAGGAAUACCGAUGGCGAAGGCAGCCAUCUGGCCUAAUACUGACGCUGAGGUACGAAAGCAUGGGGAGCAAACAGG